rnacentral:rRNA from 1 species
AACGAACGCUGGCGGCAUGCCUAACACAUGCAAGUCGAACGAGACCUUCGGGUCUAGUGGCGCACGGGUGCGUAACACGUGGGAAUCUGCCCUUUGCUUCGGAAUAACAGUUAGAAAUGACUGCUAAUACCGGAUGAUGUCGAACGACCAAAGAUUUAUCGGCAAAGGAUGAGCCCGCGUAGGAUUAGGUAGUUGGUGGGGUAAAGGCCUACCAAGCCGACGAUCCUUAGCUGGUCUGAGAGGAUGAUCAGCCACACUGGGACUGAGACACGGCCCAGACUCCUACGGGAGGCAGCAGUGGGGAAUAUUGGACAAGGGGCGAAAGCCUGAUCCAGCAAUGCCGGGUGAGUGAUGAAGGCCUUAGGGUUGUAAAGCUCUUUUACCAGGGAUGAUAAUGACAGUACCUGGAGAAUAAGCGCCGGCUAACUCCGUG